rnacentral:rRNA from 1 species
CGAAAGCCUGACGGAGCAAUACCGCGUGGAGGAAGAAAGCCUAUGGGUUGUAAACUCCUUUUCUCGGAGAAGAAUACUGACGGUAUCCGAGGAAUAAGCAUCGGCAAAAAUCUGUGCCAGCAGCCGCGGUAAGACAGGUGAUGCAAGUGUUAUCCGGAAUGAUUGGGCGUAAAGCGUCUGUAGGUGGUUUAUCCAGUCUGUUGUUAAAACUUAGGGCUUAACCCUAAUCCGGCAACAGAAACUAAUAGACUAGAGUACGGUAGGGGCAGAGGGAAUUCUCGGUGUAGUGGUGAAAUACGUAGAUAUCGAGAAGAACACCAAUAGCGAAAGCACUCUGCUGGGCCGAAACUGACAUUCAGAGACGAAAGCU